AGACCCGAAACCCGGUGAUCUAGCCAUGGGCAGGUUGAAGGUUGGGUAACACUAACUGGAGGACCGAACCGACUAAUGUUGAAAAAUUAGCGGAUGACCUGUGGCUGGGGGUGAAAGGCCAAUCAAACCGGGAGAUAGCUGGUUCUCCCCGAAAGCUAUUUAGGUAGCGCCUCGUGAAUUCAUCUCCGGGGGUAGAGCACUGUUUCGGCUAGGGGGCCAUCCCGGCUUACCAACCCGAUGCAAACUGCGAAUACCGGAGAAUGUUAUCACGGGAGACACACGGCGGGUGCUAACGUCCGUCGUGAAGAGGGAAACAACCCAGACCGCCAGCUAAGGUCCCAAAGUCAUGGUUAAGUGGGAAACGAUGUGGGAAGGCCCAGACAGCCAGGAUGUUGGCUUAGAAGCAGCCAUCAUUUAAAGAAAGCGUAAUAGCUCACUGGUCGAGUCGGCCUGCGCGGAAGAUGUAACGGGGCUAAACCAUGCACCGAAGCUGCGGCAGCGAACGUAUCACUUAAAGCGAUUCAGCGGGUUACGAUUGACGGAGCGAAGCGACGUCAAAGCGUAUACAAAGUCGAGUCGGUUUAAGGAUACGUUCGUUGGGUAGGGGAGCGUUCUGUAAGCCUGUGAAGGUGGCCUGUGAGGGUUGCUGGAGGUAUCAGAAGUGCGAAUGCUGACAUAAGUAACGAUAAAGC
rnacentral:rRNA from 2 species